rnacentral:rRNA from 1 species
ACGGAAGGCAGCAGUGAGGAAUAUUGGUCAAUGGGCGGGAGCCUGAACCAGCCAAGUAGCGUGAGGGAUGACUGCCCUACGGGUUGUAAACCUCUUUUGUUUGGGAAUAAAGGAGCCUACGUGUAGGCUUUUGCAUGUACCUUUCGAAUAAGCAUCGGCUAAUUCCGUGCCAGCAGCCGCGGUAAUACGGAAGAUGCGAGCGUUAUCCGGAUUUAUUGGGUUUAAAGGGAGCGUAGGCGGCCUUUUAAGUCUGCGGUCAAAUGUCAGGGCCCAACCUUGGCAUGCCGUGGAUACUGAUGGGCUUGAAUACACGCAAGGCAAGUGGAAUUCGUCGUGUAGCGGUGAAAUGCUUAGAUAUGACGAAGAACUCCGAUUGCGAAGGCAGCUUGCCGGUGUGCGAUUGACGCUGUGGCUCGAAAGUGCGGGAAUCAAACAGGAUUAGAUACCCUGGUA